CAAUAGCGUAUAUUAAAGUUGUUGCAGUUAAAAAGCUCGUAGUUGGAUUUGUGGCGUACGGUGUGUUCCGGGCACUUGUUGUCUGAGUAACCUGCUGUUGCCAUCCUUGGGUGGAACCUGUGUGGCAUUAGGUUGUCGUGCAGGGGAUACCCAUCAUUUACUGUGAAAAAAUUAGAGUGUUCAAAGCAGGCUUAUGCCGUUGAAUAUAUUAGCAUGGAAUAAUGAGAUAGGACUUUUUUGCUAUUUUGUUGGUUUGCGCAAAGAGGUAAUGAUUAAUAGGGACAGUUGGGGGUAUUCGUAUUCCAUUGUCAGAGGUGAAAUUCUUGGAUUUUUGGAAGACGAACUACUGCGAAAGCAUUUACCAAGGAUGUUUUCAUUAA
rnacentral:rRNA from 1 species